GAGAGAAACUCGAUUGUAACGAUAACUGCUAAUUAUCGCCUUCUUGGUUUGAUUCCAGGACUCCCUCG
rnacentral:tRNA from 1 species